rnacentral:rRNA from 1 species
CCUACGGUCGGCUGCAGUGGGGAAUAUUGGACAAUGGGCGAAAGCCUGAUCCAGCCAUGCCGCGUGUGUGAAGAAGGCCUUCGGGUUGUAAAGCACUUUCAGUGGGGAAGAAAGCCUUGGGGCUAAUACCCUCGAGGAAGGACAUCACCCACAGAAGAAGCACCGGCUAACUCCGUGCCAGCAGCCGCGGUAAUACGGAGGGUGCGAGCGUUAAUCGGAAUUACUGGGCGUAAAGCGCGCGUAGGCGGUCUGAUAAGCCGGUUGUGAAAGCCCCGGGCUCAACCUGGGAACGGCAUCCGGAACUGUCAGGCUAGAGUGCAGGAGAGGAAGGUAGAAUUCCCGGUGUAGCGGUGAAAUGCGUAGAGAUCGGGAGGAAUACCAGUGGCGAAGGCGGCCUUCUGGACUGACACUGACGCUGAGGUGCGAAAGCGUGGGUAGCAAACAGGAUUAGAUACCCCGGUAGUC